UACGUAGGUGGCGAGCGUUAUCCGGAAUUACUGGGUGUAAAGGGUGUGUAGGCGGGAUGGCAAGUCAGAUGUGAAAUGCCGCGGCUUAACUGCGGCACUGCAUCAGAAACUGCUGUUCUUGAGGAUGGGAGAGGUAAGCGGAAUUCCUGGUGUAGCGGUGAAAUGCGUAGAUAUCAGGAGGAACACCGGUGGCGAAGGCGGCUUACUGGACCAUUACUGACGCUGAUACACGAAAGCGUGGGGAGCAAACAGG
rnacentral:rRNA from 1 species